rnacentral:lncRNA from 1 species
CCUUCACAAGAAGGGCAGCAGAAGUUAUUGGAGGAAGGAGAGAUUCCUCCGUUUACAAUACCAGCAAGCAGAAAAUAUCAGUGAUGUGGAAACUACUUCAUGAUUUUGUGUUGGAUGGAAAUGACAACCUUGAGGAUGAUUGCAGUGAGAAUGCAGAUCUGAAUACGGAGCAGAGACCAUGUAUGGAGUCUGGUAAUGGCCUAGAACUUGCUCAAGCCGCUUCUAAUGCGAACCCUGUCACACUUGAGUCACUAGAGGAACGCCUACAAGAAGCUAUGGAAGUAUUAAAAUGUCAGGAACAUGCCUGGUUUGUCAUCAUGUGCUCACACCUGUGCCUCCUGAAACAGCUGCUGCUACUGUUUCUUUCCUACCUGGUCAUGACUUGACAUCUGCUCACAGUGUUACUGGAACUACAAACUAGGAUCUGAAAUUGAAUUGCCGCUACCAAAAAUAAAAAUGUAAACUUUUCCUGUUUAAUUACAAUGUGAAUAAAUUGUGUAUAAAUUACUAUAUUUAAAGUACUAGCUAUGUGUUCUAGUUUAGAAAAAGGGUACAAGACUUUUUCUGAACUCUUUAGGCUUACAAUGAUAGCUUAAUUUUUCAAACUGCAAGUUAGAAGAAUGUAUGGCAAGUUAGAAGAAUGUAUGGCAGCCUUGUUGGAGCAGAAUGUUGCUGGUAACUGCAAUGUCUAAAGCUGGUAUUAUGGUAAAUUUUCUCCUGAAUGUGGCACUUUGUUCAAGUUCUUGCAGCUGCGGUGCAGCUGCAUCUUGUUAAUGGUGUGCUUACCAGUUUUUCACAAUAAAGUGCAAUUGAUCUCAUAUUUAUAUCAAGUGCAAAGAUGUUUUGUGAUGCCAGCAGUGGUAGAAUUUGAUUUCAUGGCAUAGUGGCCAACUCUCCCACCUCUCUUUCCUUCCUGUCCCUUCUGAAUAGUUUAUAACCAUCAGUCACAGGAUUCCAAUCAUGGGGUUCAUUGAAUCAUAGAAUCACAGGCUGGUUUGGUUUAGAAAGGACCUAAAGAACAUCUAGUUCUAACCCCCUUUUCCACGGGCACAGACUCCUCACCCCAGACCAUGUUUCUGUUAAUAAAUGUGAUAGUGAUUUAAUAAGAUUCAGUGGUGAGGUAUACUUGAAUAUUUACUGCAUAGAAAGCAGGGUCAGACAAAACUGUCAGGGAGACCCUCUGUUGAGUCACAAGGUUCAUAAAGAGCCCCCUUGCUUUCUAAACUCCUUCUCGGAGGGGAGUCUGGG